ACCUUCAGCCUUUUUAUAUACUUGUAUAUAAAUCAUUAACUAAAACUUUGCAUCCCAAGAACAUGAAUUCAAACAGCUCGGUAGAGCUACUCCGAAAGCACAACCGGUCAUAUAGCUAAUCAAAGAAAAACUGGAAAAACAUGUCACUGCUAAGAAAAUGAGUACUAAGAGGGUGUAGGGAAUAAAGAGAAAGAUCAUUUACAUGAUCAGUUCACGGAUUGGCUAGUGCAUUCUCUAGCAAAGUGGCCCGCCUCUCCACAGUUGUAACACUUGCUUCCUCCACUACCACCCCCAGAUCUCCCAAAAUUACUACCACCACCACCGGGACAGUCUCUAGCCAAGUGUCCUUGUGCACCGCAUGAAUAACAAGCCCCACUACCUCCUCCACCACGGCCGCCAACACGUCCAGCACUCGGGCAAUCUCGAGCCAUAUGGCCAUACCCACCG
rnacentral:misc_RNA from 1 species